UCAGGACGAACGCUGGCGGCGUGCUUAACACAUGCAAGUCGAACGGGAGUAUUGAAGAAGCUUGCUUUAGAGAUACUUUAGUGGCGGACGGGUGAGUAACGCGUGAGGAGCUGUCCUAUGCAGGGGGACAACAGCUGGAAACGGCUGCUAAUACCCCAUAAGCCGAGAGGUAAAAGGAUCAAUCCGGCAGAGGAGGUACUCGCGUCCUAUCAGCUAGUAGGUGAGGUAACGGCUCACCUAGGCGAAGACGGGUAGCCGGCCUGAGAGGGCGAACGGCCACACUGGAACUGAGAUACGGUCCAGACUCCUACGGGAGGCAGCAGUGGGGAAUAUUGGGCAAAUGGGGGAAACCCUGACCCAGCGACGCCGCGUGGGUGAAGAAAUCCUUCGGGAUGUAAAGCCCUGUUGUAUGGGAAGAGCGGAAGACGGUACCAUACGAGGAAGCCCCGGCAAACUACGUGCCAGCCGCCGC
rnacentral:rRNA from 1 species